rnacentral:rRNA from 1 species
CCGUUCUCAGUUCGGAUCGGAGUCUGNAACCCGACUCCGUGAAGCUGGAUUCGCUAGUAAUCGCGCAUCAGCCAUGGCGCGGUGAAUACGUUCCCGGGCCUUGUACACACCGCCCGUCAAGCCAUGGGAGCCGGGGGUGCUUGAAGUGCGUCGCCGCAAGGCGCGCCCUAGAGCAAAACCGGUGACUGGGGCUAAGUCGUAACAAGGUAGC